GGUUGGGUUGUAGAGUGGUCAAAUACAUCAGACUGUAAAUCUGACGCCUCCGGCUUCGAUGGUUCGAAUCCAUCCCCAACCACCA
rnacentral:tRNA from 2 species